GCGCCAUUUCGCGCCUCCGGGCCGCUCGGCUGCCCCAGGGGCGCCUGGCAAACGUGGAGUCGCUCGGUUUUGGAGGCAUGCUUUCCAAACUUUCUAAUUCACAGGGUCUUUGCACGCAGCCCCUGCCCCACAACACCUUGGCAGUCUCUGAGACUUCUGGGGCUCUUCUCCCGGGCAGCUCCCGUGCCUGUCCGGUCCCGGAGUUGAAUAGUUUUUGAAGUAAUGAGACGGGAACGAGACUUGGGACGAACUGGAGAAAAACAUAACCGCGAAAGGAGGAGGCGGCUAUCACUUACUGGCUGUGUCAGAAGUCGCCGGGAACGCGUUGCUCCCGAGGCCGAAGGGCCCAGAGAGCUCCAGCCAGGCAGCGGGUUCGUCUCCGGCGCAAGA
rnacentral:lncRNA from 1 species